rnacentral:rRNA from 1 species
GUGUCAGCCGCCGCGGUAAUACGAAGGGGGCUAGCGUUGCUCGGAAUCACUGGGCGUAAAGCGCGCGCAGGCGGGCGUGCAAGUCGGGGGUGAAAUCUCAGGGCUCAACCCUGGGACUGCUUCCGAUACUGCAUGUCUAGGGACCGGUAGAGGUCGGUGGAAUUCCCGGUGUAGCGGUGGAAUGCGUAGAUAUCGGGAAGAACACCUGUGGCGAAGGCGGCCGACUGGGCCGGAUCCGACGCUGAGGCGCGAAAGCGUGGGGAGCAAACAGGAUUAGAUACCCUGGUAGUCC